UGGCCAGCCUGGUCUCAAACUCCUGACCUCAGGUGAUAGGAUUUACUCUGUUUCAGCAUCCUCAUUGUACAGCCUUGUUUCCCAAACCUUGCUGUCCAUCAUGCCUGCCAGACUCUUAGGUCUCUCCUCAGGUUCUGACUGAGUUAACUUGGGAUGGAAUGCAGGAACCCUGGCCUUUCUAAAGCUCCUUCUUGAGUAUUUCAGCACAGUUCAUGCCUAUCUUUCAAACAGCUACAUACAGCCUGACACUUACUAAGCAUAAUUUAUGUGGUUACAAACAAUGAAUGAUGUAUUUAUCCAGAAAGAGAAAAACCCAUGUACCACUCUUCAGGGCAUGUCAGAUCUAAAUAAUUUAGCCAGUCAUUUGACAUGAAAGAAUCUGUCACACAGAGUAAGUAAUAAACCAAAAGUGAGGGUAGAUGCUCUCCCUGAGGGUUGUCAGAGGGUCAGGGAGAGACUCUCAGAUGAAGAGCUUUGAGGAAAGCCUUGAGAGUAGACUCUGAGUUUGCCACACAGACAAGAGGCAGAGGACUUUUAGGAUAUAGCAAUGAAAAUAAUGUGUGUGGAUCUCAAAUAAUCCUAUGUGGCAGGAAUAGGGAGUUGGAUAACGGCAGGAGGAGGUGGUCAAUUUUGAAGGCCAUUGUACAGGAAGAAUAUGUUACUCAAGGUCAUAUCAUCUGUCAGUAACUGAGAUGGGAAUAAAGUUAAUUUAUUUGAGAAGGGGCCAGGGAAAGUUAUUGUUCAGAAUUAGCGAUGAGAGUUAAUGACUGCCUCCUCUGUCAGAUUUAUGUAUUAAGAAAUACUAGUUUUUAAAUCUAUAAGUUCAAUCCAUAUGUAAAUUACAUGUAAGUUUUUGCAUAUGGAUAAAUUUUUUGUUACAUUAAAAUUACCCUGGAAGGAUAAUGUUCAUGACCUUUGACAAGAUCCGUUGAUCCACAAGAGGAGCUCAUUUUGUGACCUGCAGAGCUGGAGUGAGAAGCUACAGGGUUUGAGAAGAGACAUUCUAAAUUUUUGAGGCCAAUUUCAUUGGAGAAAUAAAAACGUAGCACUUCAGGAGAGAACGGUUUUGGGGGUAACCUGCCUGUGUUGCCCGUGACUCCUGACUUCUUGCUUCAUGAUUUUAAAUCUAUACUAAGGCGUGGAACACACCUCACUUCCUCCUCAACCAGCCAGAGCAGUCCCACGCUUUGCGCCUGCCAUCACUUCCUCCGCCCUGUUCCUUUAUGCUACAGGGAAACCUGUCUCCUGUGAGCUGCUUUCUCAUUUCAUCUACUAUUUCUCCUUCAGUGCUGUUCCUUAGCACAAAUCCAAAGUCCUCUAAUACUAGCUACAUAUGAAGUCACAACACAGAGGGAAGCCCCUGCCCUGCUCCCUGUUGACCCUCUGGAAGUGGGGAACUGGGUCCUUUUCUUCUUCAUCCAUGGCUUGUUUAGUUGACAUUAUAAAAUACCUGCUAUCUGUUCACAGCUGCCUGACCCAAUGGAGAACCGAGAUGCUAUUUUAGAAGAAAGAGUGACCAACAAAAAGGAUAAGUGGAAACUAAAAAAUAGUAUUACACAACAGCCUUAUUAUGGAGAUGGAGCAUCCGACUGUGGGGAAGAUUUCCGUCCCAGGCCCAGCUGUGAGAUACAGUAAGUUCAAGAUGUCAGAGGCCAGGCCACCUCCCCUGCUCGGGCAGCACACGAUGCACAUCCUGAAGGAGGUCCUGAGAUACGAUGACGGGGCCAUCGGGGAGCUGCUCAGCGCUGGAGUGGUGGCCCAACAUGAAACCCACUGACAAAGGAAAAGGGUUCUUCCUCAUAACCUCAAUCCGAAUACCCUGGCAAAGGCAACACUUUGAUUGGACCCUUCUCCCCAGUUCUGAUACCACUAAAAAGAAGAUUUAGAGCAACUCCUGAUUUCCUGCAUGGCGUCUCCAGAAUGGCUCUGGUAUUAAUGAAUCUAGUGCCUUUUAAAUGUACCCCACGUUUUGUUCCCUACUAUUUUUUUUCAGAUGAUGAUUUAAUUAUGGAUUUGUGGGAUUUUUAAAAAUAAAGAUUUAAAUUUUUUCCUGGAAAAAUGCA